UACGGAGGGUGCAAGCGUUAUCCGGAUUCACUGGGUUUAAAGGGUGCGUAGGCGGGCAGGUAAGUCAGUGGUGAAAUCUCCGGGCUUAACCCGGAAACUGCCGUUGAUACUAUCUGUCUUGAAUAUCGUGGAGGUAAGCGGAAUAUGUCACGUAGCGGUGAAAUGCUUAGAUAUGACAUAGAACACCCAUUGCGAAGGCAGCUUACUACACGAUCAUUGACGCUGAGGCACGAAAGCGUGGGGAGCAAACAGG
rnacentral:rRNA from 1 species